rnacentral:pre_miRNA from 1 species
AUACUACUCCCUCCGUCCGAAAAUACUUAUCCUAAAAAUGAUUGUAUCUAGACUUAUUUUAGUUAUAGAUACAUUUAUUUUAUUCAUUUCUCGGACAAGUAUUUCCGAACGGAGAGAGUAUGUC